CCUACGGGUGGCAGCAGUGAGGAAUAUUGGUCAAUGGACGAGAGUCUGAACCAGCCAAGUAGCGUGAAGGAUGACUGCCCUAUGGGUUGUAAACUUCUUUUAUAUGGGAAUAAAAUGUUCCACGUGUGGGAUUUUGUAUGUACCAUAUGAAUAAGGAUCGGCUAACUCCGUGCCAGCAGCCGCGGUAAUACGGAGGAUCCGAGCGUUAUCCGGAUUUAUUGGGUUUAAAGGGUGCGUAGGCGGCCUGUUAAGUCAGCGGUGAAAGUCUGUGGCUCAACCAUAGAAUUGCCGUUGAAACUGGCAGUCUUGAGUACAGUAGAGGUGGGCGGAAUUCGUGGUGUAGCGGUGAAAUGCUUAGAUAUCACGAAGAACUCCGAUUGCGAAGGCAGUUCACUGGACUGCAACUGACACUGAGGCUCGAAAGUGUGGGUAUCAAACAGGAUUAGAUACCCGGGUAGUC
rnacentral:rRNA from 1 species